UCCUGAGGAGCAGCCAACAAGUGCGGUAGGCGGGGCCUUGGCCAGCAAAGGCCGCCUCUGUGGGAGCGCAGCAGGCUAAUUAGACUCAGCUGGCAGCCAGGCUGAGGGAGUUUCCCAGCGCCCUGCCUCCUCCUCCCGCGCGGUGGCCCGCAGCGGCGGUGGAGGUGUGGGAGGAGCCAGAUCUUGAAGGGGAGCCAGGCCCAACCCAGGGCCGAGUCCCACCAAGAACUCUAGAAUCCCAGGAGGCGGGGCAAGUCCGGCUUCCUCCAGGAUCCAGGGUUUUUCCAAGGGGAGUGAUUGGCCCUAGUUCAUCCAGCUGGAUUGUGACAGAGCCAGAAAGGGACAGAAUGCUCUGGUGGAGAAAUGUACUGCAUCUGCCUUUCUUUUCCCAACAAAUCUUAGGGACUUUCCCAGGGUCAGAGCUGCUGUGCACAGCCAUGCAGGUGUGGGCCGGGGCAUGCGUAGGGUGAGCCCGGCCUGUGCCGGGCUGCAUCUGACUGGACCAUCGGCUGCCUUGCUCACACCACGGUCCUGUGCGGAGCAUCAUUGAGUGCCUGGCAGGGAGGCUGUGUCAGGGAGGACGACUCGCCACACAUGCAGCUGUCACUGGGACAGCUGUUGGGGCGCCCUUGGCCAGAGGAUUGGGUCUCCAGGACCAGCACUGCACGCUGGGUAUAGGCACCAUCACAUCAGGAUCCUGGGCUGAAUCCUCAGCCAGGCAGGUGAGCAGCUAAGAAAGGCCAGGAGCUGCACACCCUUCCCUGCUCCUGUGCUAACCUCUGUCCCUGUGGCGGGGUCACCUCAUGGAAGCAACAGGCCUGCAUCUCAUGGGCUUGAGUCGUGUAUAACUGGAAUGCAGUGUGAGCCUGCGGAAACUGAGGCCUUAACCAGUGUGACAUGUGCACUUGAUCUAAAAAAUACAGACUAUGAAGGGGAAAUUAUUUAUCAAGAGAAUAUUUGGGGGCAGGACCAACUAUUUAAUUUCCUACCUGCCCUUGCAUAACUCACAAGGACUUUGGACCUGCAAGAAUGAAUCUCCGAACCCUGUUCACAGCAAACAGCAUGGGCCCUCCUGGGUCCCACUUCCCUGCUGCCUCUGGAGACCCAGUCAGGAAGCAAAUGUAUCACAUUCUCACUCUCUUGAGCUUGUGUCCUGGUGGCAAGACAGAACAACGGACAAGAAAGCAAACAAAUGAGCCAGGUGGGGUGGAGGCCAGCCUGGCUAUAUAGUGAGUUCGAGGUCAGCCUGAACUGUAGCAAGACCCUGUCUCAAAAUAAAACAAAAACAAAGAAACCUGAAAGCAAACAAAAGAGAUACUGUCAAACAAUAAUAGCAUCAGGAAGGAACUGAUAUGCUGGAGCAGAGAGUCAGAGGCCUACUUUAAGCACUAAGGUACUGACUGACUUCUGAAAUAAGAGGGUGAAAACCCGCCCCAGUCUACGUCAAAGGAAAAACAAACCUUGAACUACCUCAGACCACAGAGUUAAAACAAGAGCCAACUUCCCUGCCUACACCUACUCCAAGCUGUGUUGCCACAGGGCAGAGCCUGGGGGCCCUGGGGGCUGCUGGGAGGCCGAGACGUGAGAAAUGUGAGAGAUGUGACCGCUGGCAAGCAUGAGGGACGUGUCCACCACAUAGACAGACUUGAGGGAAAUGCCAGCUCCAGGCACUGUGGGAGGAAAAGAGGUGGGGGAAGGGGUCAGUUCUACCUCAGGGAGGCAGGAAGGAGUCAUGGAAAAAAGGUUGAAACUGGUUUUGAAAGAUGAAUCCAAAUUUGCAGGUUAGUGGGGGGAGGCCUAGCUGGCACAGAGGUGCAGCAGAGGAAGGGGUGUGCUGGAAUGGGCUGCAUCGGAGGUCUAAGGGCAGGCUGAGGGGUGGCUUGGGGCCUCUCCCAGAGCCGGAGGCCAGACAGCACCUAAGUGGAGGAUGCCGGCCCAUGUGACUCCUUCCCCUCCCUGCCACCUCUGCCACACUUCUGUACCUCCCUUGGGGUUUUCCCAAAGUGUCAACAGGCCAGAGUCCUGCAGGGCAGAGCCCAGCCGGGAUCACAAGGAGCAAGGCCUUGGAGCCUGAGCUGGGAGGAGGCAGCCUGGCCUCAUGCCUGGCAGGCUCCUUCAUCUGCACAAGACGCUGGGGCUGCAUUUCUGACCAUUAGCAUAGCCUAGGAGUGAAGCAGCUGUCUAAAAAAGAGGAGGUCGGUGCUCCAUAUGGAGCUAGCUGUGGCCUGAGUGCAGGGCCAUGAGAGAACUGCGUAGGUGGGAGCUGUUAACAGCAAGAUGCUCUGACCUCCUCUCUGAGAACAGAAUAGCUAGGACCCGACCCAGGAAUGUGCAGCUGAGCUGCCCAUGUGGUUCUGAUGGAGACAGCAGGUGGGUAGGUCCACAGUCUUGGAUGUUGAACUGCCUGACCCAGAGCCACCAGAGAGUUUGGAACCUAGGGGUCCCCUGUGGGCUCUGGUAGCUCAGGAAACCUUUCCUCUGCUUGAGUCCCCUUGAUUUAGAGGAAAUGCUAGCUGUUGAAUACACUGAGUUCGUAUCCCACAAAGUCAAAGAACGAACUGUAAGAAAUAAUGGGAGUUAAGAGUGGGAAAAGGAAUGGGGACAGAAGUGGGGGAUAAGACAGCUCCUGAGAGAUGGGAAGGGUCCCAAAUGGUUGCCAGUGAGCCCAGCUCUCAAUGGAAAUUUUCUAGAGCAAAAGCAUGAGGCGGGUACAAUGUGGGACAAAAUUAUGAUCAAUCAGUAAGACUGCAGAUUAAUAGUUUAGGUAAUAUUGAUCCAGUAGUAGCAAGAAUACCUAGGAGACAUCGUUAAUCUUGGUCAAUAAUCUAGUCUUAGGCUUGUCUUUACUCUUACAGUUUUAGUCUUAGGUGGGAGAGGAUGGCCCGUCCCUAAUGAGAUAAUGGGAAAUCUCAAAAGGGUGAUACCAAUAAUCGCAAGCCUCUACUGAUCGAUUAGGGAAGUAUAUAAAAUUAGUCAUUGUGACUUUAAUCUUCGGAUGUGCCUCCAGCCACAGUUCUGAUGCAUUCUCAUAUUUUGCAUUGACUCCCUCAAGGGCCCAGCCCUGACCAACUGCUUACUACAUUUCUAUCUAAUUUUGCUGUCUAUAAUACCCUCACCCUACUCUGCCACAAAGCCUCAGUAGGGGUCUUCCCCUUGUCCUCCCUGCUUGCCCCAUUUGUGCUCCCAUGAAAGGCCUGGGACUCCCCCUUUUUUGGCACAAGAAAAACAACUUAAAAGUAAACAAACCUUUGUGUUAGCCAAGGAUCUGGGAAUCAAAGGUUGAAAUGUAUUUUGCGUACACAGAGUUAAAGACUGUGGCCUCUUAGCACCUACAGCUUAUGGUGAUGCAGUCAGUGGACAAAAAAGAACAUUCCAAAAGGCUUAACACCACCAGGCAACAGAAAGCACUUGCAGCUGCUCAGAAGCUAGAGGUUCUCUGUCCACUCCCACAGAAACAGCGGAAGGGUGAGUACUCUGGUGUGAGGAGGUCAGAAUAGGAUGCAGAAGCCCUAGAAAAAUGUAUUACUAGGUAGGCUAAGCAUGUUGCCUCAGCCAGCACCCCUCUCCAGGUCAGAGGCCAGUGGGGCAGAGGCACACAGAGCUUGUUUGGGAGGAGAUGAGUUCAUUGCACAAGUUUGUGGGCCUCAAUUAAAAUUCUGAGCUGGGGACCUUGUAUAGCACAAGGAUAGAUGCCUGCUUAGCAUAUGAGGCCCUUGGUUCCACUGCCAGCACAGCACAAACAUAAACAAAACAAAAACAUCCUCAGUCCCUGCAGCCUGCUGCCUGCUGUCACCGGGGAUGGGGUAGAGAGGCCUGUCUGUGGAGCCAUCCCCAAGGUCCUGUCUGAGGCUGGCCAGAACAAGGCCUGCUUAGAACUUGCCGAACUAUACCAAAUGGAGGCACUGAUCUUACCCUGAUGAUUCUCUCUCUUCCCCAGCCCCAGUCCAGUUCUGGUUUGUGGCCUUUUGCCCCUUAACAGUUGGCAUGUGAAGGGGGCAGAAGGGACCAGCCUGCCUGAGUAGGAGCCAGGCCCAUGGCCCCAGCCCCAGAGCCCUACACGCACUGGUGAGACGCACAUGGCCAACCACAAUGAAUAAAUUUAGUUGCAUGAUGCCAUCCAGCAGGAGGCAAAUUCUGCUUUCAAGUCAUAAGACAAAGUUACUUUGCUUGCUUAUUAGGCAACGUGCCUCCUUUGGUCUACAUCCUAAUUUGGAGUUGAGCACCAGAGAGCUUCAUCCCCUUUGUUAUCAUCUGCUCUUGCCUGCCCCCAUGGAGCAGUCCCAGGCCAAUGCAGAGAGCUGAGCUAUGUGCAGAGGCCCAGGUCUCUUCAAGGCCUCAAAGCAGCCCUUGGGCACCUCCUUUUUAAGGGUAAAAAGCAGAUCCAAAACUUGGAGUUUGGAGCAGGAUAAGAAUGUGGAUUAACUGUGCUAGAUCUCCUGAAGUGAGGGCCUCGUGUUACACAAGAUGGCCUGUGUGACAAGGCAGGACUCAAGAUUGCUGGGCUUCAAGCAGACCUGGUUUUGAAUCACCACACCAUCUGGGUGACCGUGGGCCAGUCACUAAUCUUUCUGAGCCUCCCAAUCCCAUCUGUCAGGCAGGAAAACAGCCAUCUCAUAGGUUUGCUAUUGAGAGAGUCCUGGAGGCAGUGUUUGUUUUCAGCACCUACCUCAGGGCCAGGUAUGCAGUACACAGCACGGUUCCUCCCACCUCUCCUUAGUGAAGAGCUCCAUUCCUCUCCUGAGUGGUCUUGUCCCUAAGAUGUGAGGCAGCAGAAACAAGACAGGAGGAGCAGAAUUGCCAUCAGACCCUAGGGACCACAGCAUGAGGAGGAGAAAGCCGAGAGGAGGAUGGCGGUCAGAUGCCAGGGAGGGUUUUGACAUCCAUCCACCGUGCCUUGCUCCCGUUUGCCCAUUUCCACCCCUUCUGCUCUGAGGAGGCCUCUCCUGGGGCCACCUGGAGGACACUUGCCACCUCCUGGGAAGUGCUAAGGACUCUGCAACUGGCCCAUUUCCAGGUGGUCACAAGCUCCUUGAUAAGGAGCUCAGGCUGCUGUGACCAGGAGGCCCACACGAGGGCACAGCCUGCAUACAGCCACACAGCAGGAUUCGCUGUCUUCUGUGUGUCCCUGAAGUUGUCUCCACCCAGGAUCAUGAGGCUUUGAAGUAUUUGUUCAUUAGUCUUCCCUUCGCUCCUUGCAGGUCAAGGAAUUUAGCUUAGGUAAGCAGAGAUAAACAAAUAAUGCACAAUGUAAAUUUUAAUGUGUACAAAGCACUUUAAAUAUUAGAUAGAAUGGGCACCUAAGGGUUUUGUCUGGCCUGUCUAUGGGUUGAGCUGAGUUCCCUGAUGCACAUGCCAAGUCCUCUUGUUUGUCCCAGGGACAGCACUGAUGUGGGUGCAGCAUAAUAUUGUCCCAUCAGGAAGGCUGAGGGCCACACAGGGCCACAGAUCUGCCUCAUUUUCCUUCUUCAGGUCUCUGGCAGAGAGUCUGGGCAGCCCCAGAAAUAGUUUUGCAUUAUUCUGUGACAACAAGCAAAUCUGGAGGGGAAUUUUGGAAGAGCUGGGAGCCACCCAGAGGGAAAGCCAAAGGAAACAGAAGAGCAGGAAGCCAGGAGGAAACAGGCCUGGGCAGAAGCCGAGGCUGAGGCCGCUGAGCCUGAGGCCCUGGGCUAAGGGAUAUGAGGCCUAGAUAGCCUCCACCCUUCCAGGCUGCUGAGAGGAAGCCAGAGCCCUGAGCAGGCCCAGGCACUGCCUGUGCUGUACUCUCUGACCUGCAGGGAAGCUUGCCCAAUGUAGGCCGAUGUCAGCAACAAGACAACCUGAGAAGCUGCCAAGCAGGCUGCAGAGUAAGAUGGAAAAUUCCCACAGCACUCCUGCCUCUGAGGCUGUGCCUGGAGUGGGGGCCCCUGGCACCGGGCCCUUUCUGGCCCUGUCUGUGUGGGAGUCCCUUCCCACCUUGCUGCAGGGUCAGCAGCAGGUCAGGGGCUGGGGAAAAGAGCAACUGAACAGCAUUAUGGAGAGGAAUGGAAACCCAAACUUGGACCAUCCUUGCAUCUACGGAGCUGGUCUGAUGGUGGGCUCUGUGGUUCACGGGGACAGAGAUGGGGAGCGAAUGGGAAAUGAGAGAAGACAUAUUUGUUUUCUGUACAAAAAGAAGGUCCAACGACCCUCCAAACUAAGCCAAGAAUCUGAAAAAAUCAGAUCUUAUUGGUUUAAAGAAAUUGAGCAGCAUUCCCCAAACAUGUCAAGGUUUUGAAUUUAAGUCACUAGUACAGAGCAGAUGUAGACACCCCACGUUCAUCCAUUCGCCCAAGCCAGAUCGUACGACACUUAACUAUCCUGGGGCUUGGGGUGCCUAGUGAGCAGGGAGGUUCACAUGGAGUUUAUGGGCCUCACCAGCAGGAGGACACCUUCAGUGUUGCGCAGAGCAAGACAGAAAUGCUCCUGAGCAGCGAGCUUCCUCGGUUUCUCCCAGGACAGACUGGAGAAACCAGCUGGAGCAGUUUGUUUUUGAAGCACUGGAAACACUGGCAAUUUUGGUUUAGUCAUUCUCCAGUGCAGGAACUCAUGGUCCCAGAAAGAUAAGAUGGACCUAGGUGUGGAAGCAGUGUCCUCUGGACACUUGGCUGGGGGCCCAGCAGAGGUGCCAGGUCCAGGAAGGCCGCCCCACCCUGGUGGGGCCUAGCCAGGAGGAGGAAGGAAGGAAGCCACGCAAGAUAGAAUUUCCCCUUCCCAAGGCUGACAAGCCUCCAGGCUCCUAUAACCUUGAUAAGCGAGCUGGUUUGUUAGCUGGCCUGGAGUUUUCUAUAGAAGACAAAAGCCACUGGGAGGUUACAAAAUCCCAUACAAGUAGGCUUCCAGAGGCCCAUCUCUCUCAAUAAGAGAGGAGUCAGAGGAGCACAGGACUUCGUGCAGGGGCUGGUGCACUUCUCCACUGAGCGGAGCUUGGCAGCACAGGGGAAGUUUCAUUUCCAGUAUCCACCCCUCAGCUGUCCUAGGCUCUCUGGGCUCCUCCUUCCCCGGCUGGUCCUGACUCAUAUGCCUUCCUGGCCAUUCCAGGAGGAAGAGCCCCUGGGAGUGCAGGCUUGGAGUGCAGCACAGAGGGAGGUCUCAUAGCUUUGUGCUGGCGUCCCACUGAACCAGACCACAGGGCCUCCUGAGGAUUCUGCAGGCCCCGGAGGAGAGGAGUGGGAGACAACCUGAGCCCAGGUCACCCCUCACAGCUCCUGGUUUCCCAAGGGGCUCAGAAACAUCUUCUGUGUGCCUCCCUGUAGAACAGAAUUUGCACUAACGCCAGGGACACCCUUUGGGUAAAGUCACAGCCCUGUGUGUUGUGAGUGACAAGAGAGCCAAGAAAGGUUCUGUUUGCCAGAAAAAAGUGAGCCGUUGGCUGCUGGCUGAACCCCAAGGCUUGGGGAGGCUACGCAGGCCCACAUCUGCUCAGCCCUGGCUACGGGGAGAUCUUUCCGGCUGGCUUCUCCCUUGCUGACACUGCUUUGCUCCCAGCAAAUCACAUUUCAGAAGGUCAGAAUGUUGUGGAAACUUGAAGCCACUUCUGGAAGGGCCAUGCCCUACCCUGCUGCAAAAUCCUGCACUUUAAAUGCGUUUCAUCACUUAAGUCUCAUGGCAACAGAUCCUACAGUUACAACCCAUUUGACAGAAGAAAAAAGUGAGGCUAAACUCAGCUGUGAAUGAGAAUUCAGUCUGGCCAUCUGACUGCUGGGGACUGGAACCAGGAGUUGGAAGGCUGAGGAGGCCAGGUGUCUCUCUAUCUGGUCAGUGCUUCUGUCAGCCGCGUCUCCCUGGAGCUGCAGUUUUCAUGCAGCCUUGGGAGCUUCUGACUCUGGGCUCUAUAGCAGGACCUUCUCACUAUCCUACCUGGCGUGCAAGCAUCUGACAGAGCUUCACAUGGCUGUCUAAGCCUUCCCUGGAGAGUCACUCCCUUCUAAAGCUACCAGCUGCCCCAUUUUGUGGAAGGAGGCCUGGAGCUGGGGUUUUUCUGAACUGAGAAACCAGCUGCAGGCACUUACAGUUCUGCUUGCUUUAGAAGCUGCAUAACCCCUUGUUUUCCAGUGGCCUUUUGUUACAUACACUUCACACAAAAGACUAAAGAAAAAGAAAGAAGAAAAACCCCCAGAAGGGAUCUCCACGCAGUUUGCGGCAGGAAGAGUGUGCUUUUCAUAGUACAAAUGCGAGUUGCUAGACACAUCCUCUCAUUAGUCAUGAGCUGUGUCCUUGUCCCUGGGGGGCCCUCGCAGAAGGAAGGGAGCCUGGAGGCCAGUUUUGCACAAGACAUCAUCGAGCCCCAUCUGCUUCUGCAAAGGGCCUAACUUCCGCUCUGCUGGAUGCAGGCAGGAUGUGAUGCUGGUGCACACAUCUUGGUGACAGCCAGCUUGGUGGAGAUGUGCUGCCAGAGACACAGGGCUCCAAGUCUCUGUCCCUUGAGAGACUCAACCACGUUGCCUCGUUCAUCAUUCUGUGCCCCAAAGAAGGGGGCCUGACUUGGAGGAAGGGCUCAUAAAUAUGCGCUGGUAAACACAGUAUUAUGAAAAUGUUUCCUAAGUUGAUAAGUUGACAAAGGUGGGGUAACAACAUUCUUCUCUUUUUUUUUUUUUUUUUUUCUUCAGUACUGGGAACUGAGCCCAGGGCCUUCACAGUGAGUUAUAUCCCCAGUCCCUUCUUUUUCUUUCUUUCCUUCUUUCUUUCUCAGAAACAAGUGCCAGCCCAGCCCCCAGAAGCUGCUUAAGCAUUGAGAACCCAGUUAUGCAGUACCAGGCAAACAGGGCACUGAUGGCAACUACUAUACUAUUACUACCAAUGAACCAGUAGUUACUGUAACCAGAAAGUAAGCCCUAUCAUGAGUUUUUUGGAGUGCUCAUAAUAUAAGCCCUACCCCCUAAAUCAGCAUUUAGUAUGUCCAUGAGAUAUAUUGAAUUAUAAAAUAAUAUUAAUACACAAUUAAAACAUAUCAUGUUAUCGACAUUCUUGAACAAUAAUAUAAAUUAUAAUCACCCAAGCAGGCAUCUUUGGAUGAGAAGUAAACACUUAUGUAAACAGGUGAACUUGAGAGUUACUGCCGAAUGACCACUUGCAGCAUAGACACAAGGCACAUACAACACACGCAUAUGAUACAAGUGGACAAGAUUGUAUGUAAUGUGAAUCUUCAUAAUUCAAUACCUCUCACGCUGCAGCAGACAUACUUAAUGCACUUAUGUGAAAUAAAGACAGGCUUUCUGAAUUUGGGGGCCUGCAACUUUUUUGUUGCUUUUGUGUCGACUACAGUUCUUUUGUUUGUUUUUUGACACAGGGUCUCACUUUGUAGAGCAGACUGACACUGAACUUACUAUGUGUGUCAGGGGGGCCUCAAACUUGCCCUGCCUCAGGCGCCAAAGCACUGAGAUUACAGGUAUGUACCACUACGCCUGGCUGGAUCAUCAUUUGGAACUAUCAUCUUUUUGGGUGCCAUUCUUGUCUCGUAAGUCUUCAGUUAACACUUGAUUUAAUGGAACUUUGUGAAGUUAGGCCUGCAAGAGGUCAUGACUUGCUGAAGAAUUCGCGGAAUAAAAUCACUGACAGCUGUGUUGCUAGUGCACUUUGAGCAGGUUGUGCAGACAAGAGCUCUAUUGCUUUCUCUGCUUUUUAUUGCUUUACAUGACAGUAAUUAUCCCACAGAAAAUGGAAUCGCAAGAGCUUCACGCCAGAAUUGGGGUUUGGAGAGUUAGGACGAUGCUCAGAAAAUGAUGACAUGGCUGUAUUUGAGUAAAGGUAGACUUUUGUACAUGAGUAAGUGAGUAAAUGUGGGUUGUUUUACAUGAAUCAAUGUAGAUUGCUGUGCAUAAGAAAAAUAAGACAUCCCCUGAUCAUAAGCCCUACUGAGUACUUUAAAGCAAAAUUAACAUAAAUUCUCGUCUUAUUUUCAGGGAACUGUGGUACUUACUGAGCAGCUAUAUGGGGGUGUCAUGGUAGCACCUCUCAGGGCCUCUGUCCCUGGAAAACCCCAGCCAGCCAGAGCACUGUGGGGCUGUUAGCAGUGCCUCUUCCUGGUUCACCCCUACUCUCCUCAGGGAAACCAGAUCUUUCCUGUUCUGCUUCUGUUUCUCCUUUUUACCCUUAUUCCAGCUCCCAGUGUGGCGUUCGAGACUGGGUCACCUGAGGUUUGCAGGUCAUCCCUUGCGCCGAGACCAGCUGCUGGUUUCUUGUGAAGGACGCCCCCAAUCUAAACAGCUUUCUGGCAGUGCCUACUCAAAAUGGAACGCAUAGCUUCACCAGCGCUUAAGGCACGCGUCCCUGCAACCCUUCGUGUCCUUCGGGCCUGGGACACCGAGAGGGGUUGUACAAAGGUGUGGUGGGAUCCCUGGCAAGAAGGUGCUGCGCAGCGGGGAUCCCAGGAGGGUUAAUGAUUGUCAGACACAUGUCCAUGUUUUAUUCCUUCCACUGACUGUAGGAGUCAGGGUUAAGAACAUCAAAGAUACACGGGACAAGAACGCAGUGCAGUCACUUUCCAGAAGCCCGAUCUGUUCCUGAGCAAACUGGCAAGCUGCCUGCAACCAAAGAGCAGCAGCAGAGAUGGGAUGAGCUCACGUGUGAGCGGGACACUGCUCGCUCCCAGGAACCGACCUCAGACCUGACCAGGAGUGAGUGGUCUGAAGCCUGCGGGCCGGAGCAGUGCCUCGGCCGGGCUGGACCCCUGUUGCACACUGUGAACAUUUCCCAGGUGCUUCUGAUGUGACUCUGGGGAAGAACCACUAAAAUUUGGCGCAUUUUAGUUUCAAAAUCUCUGCGUACCCUCAUGAGAUGUGGGCCUAGAAACCUAGUAUUACAGAGAAUUUUAAAACCACACUGACCUCAGUAAUUUUUUUUUUUUUUUCUUAGCGUUGGGUCAAUGGGCAAUUAAUGCUUUUUGUUACUCAGGGGACUCUUUCUUGAGUCAGAACCAGGCACGUGACAGUGAUGUUACCUUUCCUCUAGAGAUAAGGCAAGGUUCCUAGGGUAGGAGGCGAGGUCGUCUUAACCUGCAUAUUGUCGUUUGUAUCACAGGUGAGUACAGUGAGCAGAGAUUCCAGGACACCCUGCAGGCAGCUGGAGUCCCUGGUGGCGCAUGCGUCGUGUGCAGCGAGGAAAGCCCCGGGAAAGGCGAAUACGCUUCGCGCAUGCGCAGAGUGUGGGCCCGCUUGGCUCCUCCCUUGCCCCAGGCACGAACUCACCGGGAGCCGGUGACCCACGCAGGAUUUGAAGGAACAUCCUGACAGGCUGGUGACCUGUAGAGCAACGCUACUUUCCAAGCAGUGUUUCUUGUGGAGGGUCUUGUUAUGUACCCAGGCUGGCCUCAAAUUCCUGGUGAUCCUCCUGCCUCAGUCUCCCAAGCACUGGGAUUACAGAGUAUAAUUAUGCAGUUCGGGCUGGCCUUGAACUCACCUUGUAGCCCAGGUUGGUCUCUAACUUGCAAGAUCCUCCUGCCUCAAGCUUAAUGCUGGGAUUAUAGGCUCAAUAACCUACUCUUAAGGGAGAGCAGAAAAUACACAUAAGACAUCUUUUAUAAGUGCUGUUUUCCUGAAGAUGACCAAGGAAGAGCUCAGUGGUAGACUGUGUGUUAGCAUGUGUGAGGCUUUAGGUUCAAUUCCUCUCCCUACCAGAAAACAACAAAACACCUAUGUGAGAUCAGUCAGGCUAAUCUUUUUACUAUAAAGCCUUCUAGGACCAGCAGCAUCCCACUAAAAUGACGAACUAUAAAAUAAAACCCUUAUCCCAAAUGCCACUUAUAGUCAGAGAUGAUUUCAAAGCCUCCACUCUCAUUUGCUAUCCACUAGUUAUGCCUCAGUGCUAGUUUAGUCUUUGAGCUAAAUCCCAUAAGCCAGGGAAACUUACAUUUCUGUCAACAAAUGCCUACACUGUGAAAAUGCUGAAUGCCUCACAGCUUCCAUGUGAAAACAUGACAGGAUGCAAUUAUUUUCCAAAAGCACUGGUUUUAUUUAUAGUCCUAACCACAUGGAUGGCAGGAGGAGUGGGAGAGGUUCUUCUUUCAAUCCAAGGGCCUCCAUGAUGUUGGUCUGUUAGUGAACACACAGGCAAGUGGCUUCAUGGAUUUGGUAAACUAAUGAUGAUGUUUAGUCUCGUUCUGCUAGAGCAACAAGGUGAGCGUCAAUCUCUGCUUCCGUAAGAAUUCUAGAAGAAUAAAAAGCCAACAAGUGCUCACUUUAAGCAAUUUUUUUUUCUUUUUGGUCUUUUUUGAGAUGGUCUCACUAUGCAGUUGAAGCUGGUCUUGAGCUCACUUUGUAGCCCAGGCUGGUCUCCAACAAGCAACAAUCCUCCUGCCUCAGCCUCCCAAGAGCUGGGAUUACAGGCACGGCCACCACACCUGGCUAAGCAAUUUUAUUAUGGGAAAGUUCAAACAUACAAAAGACAAUAACCACUCUAAAAAAUGCAAUUACUCCAUAGAUUUUGAAGGAAUUCUAGACAUUACAUUAACUUCAUCUAUAUACAAAAAUGUUUAGUAUCAGAUCUAGAAUUAGGUCAAACCUUUUAGUUACAGUAAGCAGAGACAGAAAAUAUUUCAACUGAAUAGUAUAAAGCUAAGCUAUACCAUGUGUUCUAUUCAGUUCCAAUGCCAAAUGCUUUCACGUACCUUAUAACUCGUUUCUAUGUGCUGAGAGAAAAUUCACUGAGGAAAAAAUUAUUUUAAAAAAUGCUGUUCAGAUUUAGAAAUCCAUGAAAAUAAAAUAAUGCUACAAUAGUCAGAAGGUGUUCCAUGUUGAGCCUAAGAUAUUUCCUAAAUGAUAUUUGUCUUAAAAGUAAUCAAUUGCUUGGCAACUUUACUGAUGGAACUUGUUCCUGCUGACUUUUUAAGGAAAAACCAUCAUGAUGGCAUCUGUAGUGCAAGCUGGGACAGUGUUGAGUAAUUUAAUUUAUAUUUCAUUUGCACCUAUUAUUUAAGAAACUGGCUAAGAAGCCAAAGUGAUUCCCUUGCCAACGUGUUAGGAAGCUCUGUUCUCUUUUGUGACCCCUGCAGUAGUGAGCACACUUCCAGAAAAGUGAGAGUUCACAAAUGAUUUGUGAUAACACAGGAGCUUUGGCUUCUUAGGCAGUUUUUUAAACAGAUGCAAAUGAAAUUUAAAAGGUGAUAAAAAGGUCUCAGAAAAAAAAUGAGAAUGAAUUCCAAGUUCUUUACAGAGACUUGUAAAUUGUUCCUGUUGAAAUUUUUUUUUUUUUGUCUUUUUCCUUUUUAUCGGUACUGGGGAUUGAACUCACGACUGCCCGCUUGCAAGGCAGGCGCUUAUGCUGCUGAGCUAAAUCCCCAGCCCUCCAGUUGAAAUUUUAAUGCUUCAAUCAUACUCAUGAUGGGGCUGUAAUUCAUAUGUCUCGCUGCUGAGUGGUCUUAUUUGAAGUCAAUCAUCUAAUGUUUUCAUUUAACCUAUGUAUGCUCUUUUGUUAAUGUAAGAUGCAGAAACAAAAACAGUCGUUAUUUCACAGAUUAUUAUUAAGCUCACUGGUAAAUUUUUCUUUUAUUGUUCCUUGGUGGUUCUCCUCAUUUUUAUUAGUAAAAAGACCAAUAAAAGUGAUUAGAUCCAUUU